UAGGAAUAUACCUUGAAGUGGGGGAUAACUUGGGGAAACUCAAGCUAAUACCGCAUAAGCUCUGAGGAGGAAAGCUGGGGACCUUCGGGCCUGGCGCUUUAAGAAUAGCCUGCGUCUGAUUAGCUAGUUGGUAGGGUAAAGGCCUACCAGGGCGACGAUCAGUAGCUGGUCUGAGAGGAUGAUCAGCCACACUGGGACUGAGACACGGCCCAGACUCCGUACGGGAGGCAG
rnacentral:rRNA from 1 species